ACUAUUUUGGCAGAAGAUUUAGUGCUUUAAAUUUAGAAUUUAAUUAUAUGAUAUUUAUAUCAUAAGUAGUA
rnacentral:tRNA from 1 species